AGGAUUUUACGGUCGGGGCCUGGCGUUCCCAGCCACCGCGUCUCGCAGAGGGGGCAGCCCGGAGGACGCUGAGUGGCCACAGAGGUUGGCUGUUCUCCCACGUGCCUGCAGCGGGGGGAGGGAGCCGCCGGAGGAAAACGGGGAGCCGCGAGGGAGACGUGGGAAGGUUCCCUGCGAACGGGAGCGGUGAGGACACCCAGAGAGGCCCAGAAAGCGGGAGACACACGGGGCCGGGGCCAGAGCGAGACAGGAGGACAAAGACAGAGGUGGCGGCAGCGAGACAAAGGGAGGACCGGCGAGCCGGGAGCAGCCGGGCCGCGCGGAGAAGGCGCGCGCGGCCGCCGACAUGUGUGUGGGACGACCAACCUUCAGAUGCAAAGGCUUUUGUACCUAGAAGCUUCCUCUGGUUUGCCCGGCCAGCACUUUGCUCCUCAGCUCCAAAUGCAGCCCAGAAAUGAAGACAAGCCGAUUCCACAGAAGCAGCCACAGAAAAUCUCUGUGGGGACGACCGAGGCCUCCGUUCCCACACGACUGGCUUGGCGCAGCUGCGAACAGCCGGCUGACCUCCGCCCCCGGAGCCUGUGAGCCUGAGCUGCCCGCGGACGCCGGUCUUCCCAGCCCCGGCCGAGGGGCUCCUCCAACGCUCCCCGCCCCUACAAGAACCUCAGCUCAGAGCCAGAGCCCAGAAGAUGACCUUCAAGGUCGUGUGGUCCCCUGGAGGGCACUCCUGCUGGGUGUGAGCCCAGGCUCUGGGCUCUCCCGGCCUGGGGGGUCUUCCUCACGCGGAGGGACCAGCCUUGCUGACUAAUGCACUAGGGGUGGUGAACAGCCAUAUGCAGCAGCCCUGGCCCUGGGACACUUCUGGAAAUGUACCCUACGAGCAUGAAAACUGUGAACGUGCAGGAAGAUGUUCUUUGCACUGUUAUUUAUAAUAGUGGGGGAAACCGUCUAAACGUCCAACCAUAAGGUGCAGUUAAUAAAACCCGGACAGCCCCCUUCACACACUGCUGAACACGCUCAGCUAUCACCCUGUGGGUGCGGGACACCCCUAUGGACGUCCAUUGCUCAGGCUGCCGUAACCAAGUACCAGGCUGGCAGAUUCAACCAAUAGAGAUGUAUUUUUCUCACAAUUCUGGAGGCUGGAAGUUGGAGACCAAGGUUGUUGACAGGUUUGGUUCCUUCCAAGGCCUCUCUCCUUGGCUUGUAGAGGACCAUCUUCUCCCUGUAUAUCUCACGGGGUUUUCCCUCUGUGUGUGUCUGUGUCCUAAUCUCUUCUUCUUACAAGGACACUAGCCCUAUUGGAUCAGGGCCCACCCUAAUGACCUCUGUAAAGACCCAAAUAUAGUCAAAUACAGUCACAUUCUAAGGUGCUAGGGUUAACAGUUCAACAUAGGAAUUUGUGGCGGGGAUACAACUCAGCCCACGACAGGAAUCCUCCACCAAACGGAAGCCAUUUGACAGGCCAUGUGUCAAGCGACACUGGCACCAAGGUGACACAGAAGCUUUCAGCCCUCUUGUCGCAUGAGAUCCAAGAGUUCAAAGAUCCCAUUGGCUCCCAGGAAGGAAGCCCUAUCUGAAAUGCUCUACCCCAUGAGGCGGCAUCAAAGCCAAGGAAAGGGCCUGGGGCAGCUCCCAGCUCCAAGUCUCAGGAGCUGGGUGGCCUUGGAGAGGCUACCCCACACCCACCUCGUAGGUCCUCAAUAUCAGAGGCCAGGCUCCCUGGUUCACCUGGCAGGGGGGCCUGGUCUAAGCCCCUCCACCCUCACUACUGGCCUCCUUAGGCUCGAUGGUGACAAUCCAGCUCCACACAGGACAACAAGGUGUCACCCAUAAAGGCCUUGCAAGGCAGGCCCCUCCGGUUCCCAUAACCCCAAGGGCAGCUGUAGAGGUGCCGCCCCAUUUCACAGACGGUGGAAGCGAGGCUGACACAGCCAGCGGCCUGUCCAAGGUCACAUGGCACGGAAAUGCCUGCCUCACAUUUAACACUAAGACAACUCGGUGAUAGCAUUAACGCGUGUUUCAAUGGGAGGGGGUCCCAUCACCUUGUGAACACAGCCGUACCAGCAUUCCAAGUCCUCUUCCAGCCUGGGCUUACACGGACAUAUUUCUUUAAGGCUGUAAUCAAGACACGUGUACAAUUUUGUGCUCUGCUUAUUUUGACUCAGCAUUAGAUCAUCAGCUUCUCUGUGUUGAAAUGGGCUCCAUGGCUGUCAUUUUAAAGCCACAGAAUAUUCCACCCCCAGGGGUACACAACAGUUUGCCUAACUGUAUUUUAUUGUUGGAUGUUCAGAAUUUCCCCACCACUAUAAAUAACAGUGCAAAGAA